GAGAGAGUCCCGACGGAGAUAAUGACUGCUAAUCCCUUAUACCCCUGGUUAAACCCCAGGGCUCACUCG
rnacentral:tRNA from 1 species